UGCAGAAUCCCGCGAACCAUCGAGUCUUUGAACGCAAGUUGCGCCUGAGGCCAUCCGGCUGAGGGCACGCCUGCCUGGGCGUCACGC
rnacentral:rRNA from 1 species